AGAUAGAGGCGCGAGGUUCAUCAGUAAGCCCCUGCUCAGAAGCAGCUUUCGCGGGGAACGAAAGGGAACAUCGCCGAAGUGAAGAACAGCAGCUGCGCUCCUCUUCGCUGGGCCGUCGGAGAAUAUCCGCCGGACUGUCACGCAAGUGGAGCGCUAUCGAG
rnacentral:ncRNA from 1 species